rnacentral:rRNA from 2 species
CGCCCACCUCAAGAUGAGUGCUCUCCUA